GUAAACGAUGAAUACUAGGUGUGGGGGGACUGACCCCUUCCGUGCCGCAGUUAACACAAUAAGUAUUCCACCUGGGGAGUACGGCCGCAAGGUUGAAACUCAAAGGAAUUGACGGGGGCCCGCACAAGCAGUGGAUUAUGUGGUUUAAUUCGAAGCAACGCGAAGAACCUUACCAGGUCUUGACAUCGUGCGCAUAGCCCAGAGAUGGGUGAAGCCCUUCGGGGCGCAUAGACAGGUGGUGCAUGGUUGUCGUCAGCUCGUGUCGUGAGAUGUUGGGUUAAGUCCCGCAACGAGCGCAACCCUUACGAUUAGUUGCUACGCAAGAGCACUCUAAUAGGACUGCCGUUGACAAAACGGAGGAAGGUGGGGAUGACGUCAAAUCAUCAUGCCCCUUAUGACCUGGGCCACACACGUAAUACAAUGGCGGUCAACAGAGGGAAGCGAAGCCGCAAGGCACAGCAAAUCCUCAAAAGCCGUCUCAGUUCGGAU
rnacentral:rRNA from 1 species